AAGAGUGAGCAGCUAGUAAAAUUAAAUAAAGCUCUGUAUAAAUUGUGUUAAGGUCCUGACAGGACUCUCAUUUUUACAUUUAAAAAAAUACCUGAUUCUAUCCCUGAGAUGGGAAGAUGUAAUACA